rnacentral:rRNA from 1 species
GACUCAACACGGGAAACUCACAGGUCCAGACACAAUAAGGAUUGACAGAUUGAGAGCUUCUUCUUUCUUGAUUUUGUGGGUGGUGGUGCAUGGCGUUCUUAGUUGGUGGAGUGAUUUGUCUGCUUAAUUGCGAUAACGAACGAGACUUAACUACUAAAUAGUGCUGCUAGCUUUUGCUGGUAUAGUCACUCUUAGAGGGACUAUCGAUUUCAAGUCGAUGGAAGUUUGAGGCAAUAACAGGUCUGUGAUGCCUUAGACGUUCUGGGCCGCACGCGCGCUACACUGACGAGCCAACGAGUAUUAACUUGGCCGAGAGGUCUGGGAAAUCUUGUGAAACUCCGUCGUGCUGGGGAUAGAGCAUUGUAAUUAUUGCUCUUCAACGAGGAAUUCUAGUAAGCGCAAGUCAUCAGCUUGCGUUGAUUACGUCUGCCUUUGUACACACCGCCGUCGCUACUACCGAUUGAAUGGCUUAGUGAGGCUCCGGAUUGGUUUAAAGAAGGGCAACUCCAU